rnacentral:rRNA from 1 species
AGAGUUUGAUCCUGGCUCAGAUUGAACGCUGGCGGCAUGCCUUACACAUGCAGGUCGAACGGCAGCACGGGAGCAAUCCUGGUGGCGAGUGGCGAACGGGUGAGUAAUAUAUCGGAACGUGCCCAGUCGUGGGGGAUAACGCAGCGAAAGCUGUGCUAAUACCGCAUACGAUCUCUGGAUGAAAGCGGGGGACUCGUAAGAGCCUCGCGCGAUUGGAGCGGCCGAUAUCAGAUUGGCUAGUUGGUGGGGUAAAGGCCCACCAAGGCGACGAUCUGUAGCUGGUCUGAGAGGACGACCAGCCACACUGGAACUGAGACACGGUCCAGACUCCUACGGGAGGCAGCAGUGGGGAAUUUUGGACAAUGGGCGCAAGCCUGAUCCAGCAAUGCCGCGUGCAGGAUGAAGGCCUUCGGGUUGUAAACUGCUUUUGUACGGAACGAAAAGGUCUGCCUUAAUACGGUGGGCCCAUGACGGUACCGUAAGAAUAAGCACCGGCUAACUACGUGCCAGCAGCCGCGGUAAUACGUAGGGUGCGAGCGUUAAUCGGAAUUACUGGGCGUAAAGCGUGCGCAGGCGGUUAUAUAAGACAGAUGUGAAAUCCCCGGGCUCAACCUGNGACCUGCAUUUGUGACUGUAUAGCUAGAGUACGGU